UGUUCAGAACACAAUACCUUUAUGCGGAUAGUUGAUCUUCGCAAUUUGAUCAUUAUCGGGAGGAUCUGAUCAUCACAACAUAGUCACACAGUGUGUCUGGCCUCUGCAGAUCAUCCACAUGAAGCUCUCGGUCUGAUCGGCUCCUCACGAGUGCUAGCUUGUUGUAGAGCCCUAUCGACGGCCGAUGCUGAUCGAACUCCUUCGAUCGAUAUCUGUCGACUCUUUAGAUGCUCUAGAUUGUCAACAAGUAUGCUUGAGAGGUUGAUGAAUCUCUUCAUAAAAUUUGGUGGGCUCAUGACACUCGUAGCUCACCUUCUCACUUCCCAAACCCC
rnacentral:lncRNA from 1 species